rnacentral:tRNA from 1 species
GUUGUUAUGGUGUAAAACACAUUAUAUUUUCAUUGUAAAGCUAAAGGUCUAAUUCCUUUUAACAACA